rnacentral:rRNA from 1 species
AGAGUUUGAUCCUGGCUCAGGACGAACGCUGGCGGCGUGCUUAAUACAUGCAAGUCGAACGGGGUCCAUCCGGUGGCAACACCGGAGAAGACCUAGUGGCGAACGGGUGAGUAACACGUGAGCAACCUGCCCCGAAGACCGGGAUAACAAUGGGAAACCGUUGCUAAUGCCGGAUGCCCCCACCGGGUCGCAUGGCCUGGUGAGGAAAUGUUACGGCGCUUCGGGAGGGGCUCGCGGCCUAUCAGCUUGUUGGUGGGGUAACGGCCUACCAAGGCGACGACGGGUAGCUGGUCUGAGAGGACGAUCAGCCACACUGGGACUGAGACACGGCCCAGACUCCUACGGGAGGCAGCAGUAGGGAAUCUUGCGCAAUGGGCGAAAGCCUGACGCAGCAACGCCGCGUGAGGGAUGAAGGCCUUCGGGUUGUAAACCUCUUUCAACAGGGACGAUUAUGACGGUACCUGCAGAAGAAGCCCCGGCCAACUACGUGCCAGCAGCCGCGGUAAUACGUAGGGGGCGAGCGUUGUCCGGAUUCAUUGGGCGUAAAGAGCUCGUAGGCGGCUUGGUAAGUCGGGUGUGAAACCUCCAGGCUCAACCUGGAGAUGCCACCCGAUACUGCCAUGGCUAGAGUCCGGUAGGGGCCCACGGAACUCCUGGUGUAGCGGUGAAAUGCGCAGAUAUCAGGAAGAACACCGGUGGCGAAGGCGGUGGGCUGGGCCGGCACUGACGCUGAGGAGCGAAAGCGUGGGGAGCGAACAGGAUUAGAUACCCUGGUAGUCCACGCCGUAAACGUUGGGCACUAGGUGUGGGGGAUUAUCAACGUCCCCCGUGCCGUAGCUAACGCAUUAAGUGCCCCGCCUGGGGAGUACGGCCGCAAGGCUAAAACUCAAAUGAAUUGACGGG